rnacentral:lncRNA from 10 species
CCUUUACUCAGCACCAUUUAAUGUAUUAAAAAACAGCUUUAAAAAAAAAAAAAAAAAAAAAAACUUGAAAUAGGAACUUCACCGUCUCUUAAGAGCGAUAUAUUUAAUACAUUCACAAGAUUCGAAAUGAAAAACAAACAUUAUUCAUGCUACAGGUUUUUAAUUUUCCUUGGACAACACCAAAAACACAGUACUCAAACGGCAUGUUUUUUUUUUGUUUUUUUGGUUUCUUUUUGAGAUGGAAUUUCACUCUUGUUGCCCAGGCUGGAGUACAAUGGUGCGAUAUCAGCUCACUGCAAUCUUCGCCUCCUGGGUUCAAGUGAUUCUCCUGCCUCAGCCUCCUGAGUAGCUAGGAUUACAGGCAUGCGCCACCACACCCAGCUAAUUCUUGUAUUUUUUAGUAGAAAUGGGGUUUUACCAUGUUGGCCAGGCUGGUCUCGAACUCCUGACCUCAGGUGAUCUGCCCACCUCGACCUCCCAAAGUGCUGGGAUUACAGGCGUGAGCCACCAUGCCCGGCCUGAUUUUUUUUUUUUUUUUUUUUUUGAGGCAGGGUCUUGCUCUGUCCCCCAGGCUGGAGUGCAGUGGCAUACUCAUGGCUCACUGCAGCCUCCAAUUCCUAAACUCCAAUGAUCUUCUCACCUCAGCCUGCCAAGUAGCUAGGAUUACAGAUGUGUGCCGCCAUGCUAAUUUUUAAAAAUUUUUUGUAUAGAUGGGUUCUCACUAUGAGCCCAGGCUCAUCUUGAAGUUCUGGGCUCAAGCAAUCCUCUUACCUUGGCUUUCCAAAGUACUGGGAUUACAGGCGGGAGCCACCAUGCCAGCCGUCACUCUCAUUUUUGAGCACAGGAAUUGUGCCCAAAGGCUAGGAUAAGGAAUUAAAGAUGCAUGCCAAGAAAUACCCACAAACAUUAAUUAUAAAAGGGAGACUAUACUAAUGUUUG